rnacentral:tRNA from 1 species
GAGGGUAGAGCUCAGUGGUAGAGUACAUGCCUAGCACGCAUGAGGCCCUAAUUUCAAUUCCCAGUACCUCCA